CAGACUCCUAGAACAUAAAUUUCAGAGAUUAAGAGCUGGCACUGAAAUACUAUUAAGAAAAACUUAAGUAUAAAAGCAGCUUUCGAGAACUACAGCUCCUGAAAAGCAGUGGACUUUCCAGCUGGUCGGGAGAGACACUGCCACAAAUGGUGCUCGUGGUCCCUAUUUUCAGGGGCCAACAACCGCCCGCACCCGUGGUCAUUCGAAUGCCAUGUCAUGGCACCUUUUCUCUAUUGCCAUCCUCCUUGACCGCUUGCUUCCCAGCUUGGGAGAGUACAAAAAAAGAGAGACUCGGGCUCAUCAUAAGGUUUUGAUUCUUCCUUUGGGGCAGGAACGAACAUCACCUAACAUGUAAUGUGGGGUGUCAUGAGACCUGCCUAUCUUAUGGUAUCCGGGCAAUGGCACUGCUGUUCUCACCUCUCUGACCCUACAUGACCCUACAUGACACAAAGUCAGGGGCAUUCUUCCUGGAAGAUCCCAUCUGUUCCAAAAGAGGAUAAAGUGCCCUGGCUAAGUCAUGGGACAGUUACUUCCCAGAUGGCUCUCUCCCUGGACAAGAACUCUGGAGAUCUGGGUUCCAGUUCGGAUGCUCCCACUUACCAGUCCUCCAACCUUGGAUGAAUCCAGUAUCGAUGCCAAUCAGUGACUGACAAGCUACGCAGACAUAAGGUGAACGACAUGGGGGUAAAGACAAAGAGACAAAAGGAAACCCCCCACCUACACAGCAAUGCUUAAUGUGGCAGAGACUUCAAAUGUGAGUGCUUUAUGCCCGCAGCCUGGCAACCUUUCGUAGGCUCAACAUGGCAGGUGGGAACAAAAUUCCAGGUUUCAUACCAUUGUGCUCCUUUGUAAGCCAUGGUAGUACCUAUGGUCUGCAAUUCCAUGGUACUUAUGACCCCAGCAAGCGGACAGGUUCAAGAACGGCUUUGAGGAAUCCUUACGUCCAUGACUGCUCAUGAAGGGAAAGGGGAGAUUCUUGCGGAGGCUGUAGACCUGAUGUGGGGGUAAGAUGUCUACCUGACCUCUGGGAUUCAGCUGGAAUAACGGAAGGACAAAGUCUGCUGCUCCACCAGCCUUCGGUUGGUUCAUAUACCAGAACAACAGAAGAUCUUGGUCAAUUUUGACUGAACCACCAUCUACAGAGGAGGAAAACCUAAGUCAGCCUGAGAAAAGCAGCAGCACCGAGGCUGGGAGGGAAAAUGAUCAUGAACAUUUAGUAGUAAAGGGAAAAAAAAAUUAAUGACUCUGUGAAUUGAUAGAGGUGUGAAUUAACUUGCUCAUGGUAAUCACUUCACAAUCUCUACAUAUAUUCAGCCAUCCCAUUGUACACCUAAAAAAAUCACAUUGUACAACCUAAACAUAUACAGUUUUUGUUUGUCAAUCACACCCCAAUACAAGUGGAAAAAAUAAAUAAGUAAAAAUAAAAAAAUCUUCGGUGGGGGGAAGAAUGCCCCCUUUUUAUUUCGCUGCAUUAAGAGGGAAACUAGAAGCCCAGCAAGAGAGAAGACUGGAUCAAGUAAAAUGCGAAACCAAGGCUUUUUCUGAAUUCCUUAGUGAGGUUAGUCUGGAGGGAGACUGGCUGCUUCUUCCAGAGCAGAGGCCCAUACCUUGCCUUC